rnacentral:lncRNA from 1 species
CAGUUCCAUUAUGUUUACAAUUUGUUCACUAAUUCAACUCUUUUCUUGUUUGUUUCUUUCUUCAGAUCACUCCAUCCGGUCAAUCAUCUGCUGCUGCUGUGCUGUUCAGACCAGGGAGUUCAGCACUCGUGUGGAGCUGGAGAGCAGAACCUCCCUUUGUUUCCCAAACCGACGGUAUUCAGGACAACCCA